CAGUCGAACGGACUCAUAUUGAAACCUAGUGAUUUAUGAGUUAGUGGCGGACGGGUGAGUAACGCGUGGAUAACCUGCCGUAUACCGGGGGAUAACACUUAGAAAUAGGUGCUAAUACCGCAUAAGCGCACGGCUCCGCAUGGGGCAGUGUGAAAAACUCCGGUGGUAUACGAUGGAUCCGCGUCUGAUUAGCUAGUUGGCGGGGUAACGGCCCACCAAGGCAGCGAUCAGUAGCCGGCCUGAGAGGGUGGACGGCCACAUUGGGACUGAGACACGGCCCAAACUCCUACGGGAGGCAGCAGUGGGGAAUAUUGCACAAUGGGGGAAACCCUGAUGCAGCGACGCCGCGUGAGUGAAGAAGUAUCUCGGUACGUAAAGCUCUAUCAGCAGGGAAGAAAAUGACGGUACCUGACUAAGAAGCCCCGGCUAACUACGUGCCAGCAGCCGCGGUAAUACGUAGGGGGCAAGCGUUAUCCGGAUUUACUGGGUGUAAAGGGAGCGUAGACGGCAGCACAAGUCUGGAGUGAAAUCCCGGGGCUUAACCCCGGAACUGCUUUGGAAACUGUGCGGCUGGAGUGCGGGAGGGGUAAGCGGAAUUCCUAGUGUAGCGGUGAAAUGCGUAGAUAUUAGGAGGAACACCGGUGGCGAAGGCGGCUUACUGGACUGUAACUGACGUUGAGGCUCGAAAGCGUGGGGAGCAAACAGGAUUAGAUACCCUGGUAGUCCACGCCGUANACGAUGAUUACUAGGUGUCGGGGGNCCAAGGUCCUCCGGUGCCGGCGCAAACGCAUUAAGUAAUCCACCUGGGGAGUACGUUCGCAAGAAUGAAACUCAAAG
rnacentral:rRNA from 1 species